GUCAUGAUAGCUUAAGUGGUUAGAGCAGCGGCAUAAUGAGCCAAAGGUUGCAGGUUCGAAUCCUGCUCGUGACA